rnacentral:rRNA from 1 species
CAGCAGCCGCGGGAAUACGGAGGAUCCAAGCGUUAUCCGGAUUUAUUGGGUUUAAAGGGUGCGUAGGUGGCCUGUUAAGUCAGGGGUGAAAGACGGUAGCUCAACUAUCGCAGUGCCCUUGAUACUGAUGGGCUUGAAUGAACUAGAGGUAGGCGGAAUGUGACAAGUAGCGGUGAAAUGCAUAGAUAUGUCACAGAACACCAAUUGCGAAGGCAGCUUACUAUGGUUUUAUUGACACUGAGGCACGAAAGCGUGGGGAUCAAACAGGAUUAGAUACCCCGGAGUCCCUGUCUCUUAUACA